UCUCACAAGUCUUUUUAUGUUCCGAUAUCAUCCGGCAUUUAAAUAACUUGCCAACUGAUUUCUUCACAAAUGUUUUUAUUACAAAUAGCCAAAUUCACCAGCACAAUACUCGAAACUCGACUAAACUACACAAUUCACAAACCAUAUAAAAGAACUAACUAUAACGUCAGCCACUCGCUUUCAGUGAAAGGGAUGGACGUUUGGAAUAGCCUUGAUAGUAAAUUAAUAGAUUUAACAUCACGUCGAUAUCGUAUAUAGUAUAUAUCGUAUUUAAUUUACAAAAUUGAUUUAAUAUAAUGUGCAAUAGAUAAUUAAAGGUAUAGCUAUAAUUGAAUAGAUAAGAAGAAAAGUUAGAUUAACA